GAUGAACGCUGGCGGCGGGCCUAAUACAUGCAAGUCGAGCGAAGCGGGGACGGGGGAGUAACACGUGGAUAACCUCCUAUAAGACUGGGAUAAAUUCGGGAAACCGGUGCUAAUCCGGAUACUGAUAGAUGAAUGUACUCUGCAUUAGCUAGUGGGUAAGGUAACGGCUUACCAAGGCAACGAUGCCUAGCCGACCUGAGAGGUUGAUCGGCCACACUGGAACUGAGACACGGUCCAGACUCCUACGGGAGGCAGCAGUAGGGAAUCUUCCGCAAUGGGCGAAAGCCUGACGGAGCCAUGCCGCGUGAGUGAUGAAGGUCUUAGGAUCGUAAAAUUCUGUUAUCAGGGAAGCGGUACCUAAUCAGAAAGCCACGGCUAACUACGUGCCAGCAGCCGCGGUAAUUC
rnacentral:rRNA from 1 species